UUUUGUUUGUUUGUAAAGGAUAACAGUUAACCCAAAAGAAAUGUGUUAUUGGUAAAGUUUCAGGAUGGGAUGAUUAUCUGAUUCCUCUGAAAUCACAUCACUUGAAUCAUCUGGAGUGAGACCUCCUGACUCCCAAGUUAUCUUCUGGAUUAUACACAGGCAGGCAGUAUUGGCCUUCUCAGGGGUUGUAAAGUAACUCGCUGGUCUGCUCACCAAAACUGUGCUUCCUGAUCUGACUUCUGGUUUUUGAGCCUUCAGCCAACUGAGACCUGUGCUUAUCAACUUCCUGUUUUCAGUUCAGGAUUGGACUGUGACCCCUGGAAUCUGUUCCUUCUUCUCUAAGCCCUGAGAAAGAGGAAGGGUGACUCCCCAGAGGAAACAGAAACUGUCCCAUGGCCAGAUGUGUAGAUGGCUGGCUCAGCUCUUCUCACUGGGUCUAGAACUGAACAUCCCUUGUGAAGAUUCUGAAUCUUAAAUGUUUAAGAACCUGGAGACAGAAGAGAAAGAUGGGAAAAAAAGAGGAAACCCAUCAAACCAAAGGAUCUGAAUAUUUCCAGCAUGACAGCUGCAGUAACUCUCUCCAGCCCUAGGAUCCUGUCAUGGAAAUGCAGGCCCUGACCCUUAAGCUAUUCACAACCUGGCCUCCUUGGCUGUGAAAAUGAUUAGCAAUAGCGUUAAAGAAGUGUUUGUAAUACAGAGUAGCAAAGAGGAGAGGUGUCUUCUCACAUUCAUUCCUAGGCUCCAUGUGCCACAGAGAAGACAGUGAGUGUCCCAUCAUCUCAACAGGGACAAAACAACCAGCAACUGAACAAAGGAGGAGAAACCACAAACCAUGAUAGCACAUGGCAUCUGCUACUUAAAUUGUGAAACAAAAGCCACAGAUCUGUUGUUGGCAGCAGAAUAAACAUCAUGUGGCAUGUG